rnacentral:tRNA from 3 species
GCACCCUUCGUCUAGUGGUUAGGACACCGGGUUUUCAUCCCGGCAACAGGGGUUCGAUCCCCCUAGGGUGUACCA